rnacentral:tRNA from 1 species
GUCCCUGUAGCUUAAUGGAUAGAGCAUUGGAUUGCGGAUCCAAAGGUUGGUGGUUCGACCCCACUCAGGGACG